UUAUAUAAUGAAGGACAAGAAGCCUAAGAGCUAAAUCACGCUAUCAGUUAAUAAUUGGAUUUCAGCCACAUUAAACGUGUUUUUGUUCGAACAAAGAAUAUUUUUGAAUAUAAAGUGUGAUUUAAACGAAAAAAAAUUAAUUUUUUGAGAAUCUUUCCAUUUUUAUUUCUUUCAAUAAAUAUUAUUAAUCUUUGUUUUUUAAAAUUGUAAUUUAACAAAAUAAAAAAUGAAUUCAUUUUCUCAGAGUGAUGAAACACGAUCAUUGUUAAAAAAUAGAAAUUUCAGUAUUAAGUGGAAUAAUAAAGUGCUCAAGUGGAUAUUCUAUAAAGUUUUGUUUGUCUUAUUGUUACUAGGUGCUAUAUAUCUUGUACACGUUCUUACUAAGAAUAAAAUUCAGCUAGAAUCCAAUGCAAUUCCAAAAACGAAAAAUUCACUGCACAUCACGAGUAUUGCAACCACAAAUGAUGAUUUUUUAAAGAAAUGUGCUCCUAUAGUGAAAUGUGAUCCAAAUGCCAAGUAUAGAAGUGCAAAUGGAUCUUGUAAUAAUUUGGAGAUUCCCACGUGGGGUGCUGCAAAAACUCCAAUGCUUCGUAUGAUUGAUCCUAAUUACAAUGAUGGUAAUUACGAAUUACGAUUGCAAACAAAUGGAAAAGCAUUACCCAGUGCAAGAGUUAUAAAUGUAAAUGUUUUUCUAAAUCAUGAAAUAUACCGUGCUGAUGAAAAUAAUGUACUUUUAUUGCCAUUUUCACAAUUAUUAGCCCAUGACGUAUCUGGUAUGCCCAAUAAUGUUAUCUCAGAAAAGAAUGGUGCAGAAGUUGACUGUUGCUUAAUUAAAAAUAAAAUAAAAGAAUAUCCACAAUGUCAAUUGGCUAUCGAAUAUCCACCAGACGAUCCUGUUUUUAGUGUACAUAAUAAAACUUGUUUGACAUUAUUCCGAGCAUUGACAUCGAAGCAUUAUUAUGACUUUCCACUACACCCCACAACGUUUAUCAAUGCCAAUUCGCAUUACAUAGACGCGUCUGAAGUAUAUGGAUCCAACGAAAGUUAUGCACUACGCCUUAGAACUAUGGAUGGUGGAAAACUUAAUUUCUCUAUUGGUGAUAAUGGUCAAAUGUUCUGUCCAUUUUUAAGCAAUCCACACAAGAAAUCAUCAAUUGGAAAUCAAAAUAUCAAUAUUGAAUUUGAUACAGGAGAUCCAAACAACGGGAAUCAAAAUUUAGGAAUAACUGCAAUGCAAACCUUAUUUUUAAGGUUUCACAAUUAUAUUGCUUCAAAGUUCUCGUCUUUAAAUCCAUUUUGGUCCGAUGAAAUCGUUUAUCAGGAAGCACGAAGAAUUGUCAUUGCGACUAUUCAACGUAUUACAUAUGAAGAUUUCUUACCUAUAAUUAUUGGAGAAGAUUUUCAAGAAAUGUAUGGAUUAAAUAAACCAAAUAUCUAUGAUCCUAGUGUAAAUCCUUCAACGUCUCAGGAGUUUUCAUCUGCUGCUUAUCGAAUCUUACAUGCAGUUAUACCAGUUCAAUUUAAUUUUAUGAACAAAAACUACAAAAUAGAAAACUCGGCAAAAAUUACUGAUUGGAUGUUAAAUGCAGACCUAAUACCCCUUGAUAAUAACUUUGAUAAAUUGUUAAAAGGGUUUAUAGAAACUCCAGGAAGAAUGGUUCAACCUUCUUAUAAUUUUUACAUAUCCAACUUCUUGUUUCCUAGAAUAGACAAUUAUUCAAUAAAAGGACAAGAUGUACUCGGUUUACUUGAUAAUCCUAAGUACAAUAGUCGUGAUCUUCUUGCAAUUGAUAUCUCAAGGGGCCGCGAUGUGGGCCUACAGCCAUACAAUCGAGUUAGACAUUUUUGUGGAUAUCCAUUGGCUAAAGAUUUUGAAGAUUUGGCGGAUCUUUUACACACAAAAAAAAACACAGUGAUGGUGCAAUUGUGGGUCCAACAGCGAGGUGUUUAAUUGCCGACGGUUUUUAUCGAUACAAAGUUGGUGAUCGAUUUUUCUACGAUGUACAAGGGCAGCCCGGUAGCUUCACAGAAGAUCAAUUGAAAGUGAUAAAGAAAAUUACUCUUGGUCAUGUUAUAUGUGCAAAUUCAAACGUAGACCUUGUUCAAAAUGAUAUGUUUAAGACAAUCGAUCAUAA
rnacentral:misc_RNA from 1 species